CAGUCGCCGCGGGAAUACAGAGGGUGCAAGCGUUAAUCGGAAUUACUGGGCGUAAAGCGCGCGUAGGUGGUUUGUUAAGUUGGAUGUGAAAUCCCCGGGCUCAACCUGGGAACUGCAUCCAAAACUGGCGAGCUAGAGUAUGGUAGAGGGUGGUGGAAUUUCCUGUGUAGCGGUGAAAUGCGUAGAUAUAGGAAGGAACAUCAGUGGCGAAGGCGACCACCUGGACUGAUACUGACACUGAGGUGCGAAAGCGUGGGGAGCAAACAGGAUUAGAUACCCCUGUAGUCCCUGUCUCUUAUAC
rnacentral:rRNA from 1 species